GCGGGGCGGUAGAGCUGCGGGUGGCGAUGCCGGGACCGAGAAGAGCAGCGCUGCGUUCGGAUCCCUCCAGCAGGAAUGAGCUGGUGGAAGCGUGCAGAGAAGAGACAAGAAGAUGCCAGUUCCCACUGCAGCACUUUGGAAGUGUUGCCACCCCUCGCAUUUAUGCUCACAGCAGAACAGGGAUGUGGCAGAGCAAACCCUUUUGGAGCAACGUUACUGAAGGGGGAAACUGAGGCAGAGAAAGGCAAUUCCCUCUGCAGCACUGAGCUCUCUCCAAGGGAUUCUUAGGAGCUGUUUCCCAUAGAAUAGGACUUGGAUGAAUCCAGGUCUUGGCAUUUCAGGACAAUGUUGAUAUCCUCCAAAAACUUGACAUUUCUUCCUCUUUAUUUAUUUAUUUAUACCUAUUUUAUUUGUAGCCAAAAUUAACAUUGGCUCAGAGCACAUUCCUGAGCCUAAAAUGUGUUCCUGGGUGAUACGACUCAGAGCAGAUGCCAGUUCCUCUUUGAGAAACAUUGUGGGCUUCAAUGUUUGUAUGGAAGUUGUUUUUCUUUUUCUUUCGUUUCCUUCCUCCCUCCCACCUUCGUCCUCUCUUUCAUCCACCCCAUCUCCACCCCACUUCACCAGAAAGAGCCAUAAAGAUAAAUAAUUAAAAAGGUAAAGUAGAUAAAAGGAAACCUGAACAGUGCAAAAAGAAAAGACAUAUAUUUUUUCCCCUUCCAUUAGAAACACGGGUUUUCUCCCAGACUCCCCAGCAGGGUCAAGUCAGGGCUGGCAGGACAUUCCCCUCCUGCAAUGGAUGAGCUAUUUCCUUGGCAGGUUAUUCAGUGGCAGAGUCACUUGGCAGAAGGGUUGUGAAAGGUCUGAGAAGCAAAGAGAAGGACAAGGGACAUCCAGAGCCACCACCUCCAGAGGAAUUUCAUCAAACUACAUCCAACUGGACUGUGUAAUAACCAGUGCUCAGAAGGAGCUGGCACCCAGCUGCCAUCAUGCAGAAGAGCAUGGCUGCCCCAACCCCUUGUGUUCCAUGGGGCCUUUUUCCACCCUGUGUUUUGUUACAUGGCUCAAAGAGGUCCCACAAGAGCUGGUAGAUGGUUCCUAACAUCGGUGUUGUGUCUUUGUCCACCCAAGGACUGUGCUACUCUCUUCAUUAUCCUUUGAGACAACAAAACCAUUGGGUUGAAAGGGACCUUAAAGACCACAUAAUCCAUGAGCAGGGACACCUGCCAAUAGACCUCAAGGCCCCAUCCAAGUCGGCUUUGAUCAUUACCAUUGAUGGAACAGCCACAACUUCUCCAAGCCACCUGUUCCAUUCAUUAAAAUUUUCCUUACAUCCAAUGUAAAUCUACCCUCAUUCAUUUUUAAAACAUUGCUGCUGCUUCUCUGCCCACCAGGCGAAGGAGGCUGGUGGGACCAAUGGCUCUGGGGCUCCGACUCUGUGUUCAUGUCAGCCUGGCUCCUUGCCUCUGCUCUUCCCUAAUACUGAAGAAGAGCAGGAGAUGCUCAGACAGCAUGGAGGGAGCUGACUUGUGCUUGGAUAUUCCCUCCUGCCCAGAGAUAUCAAGUGGAAUGAAUAAUUCACUAUCUGAUCAUCUCUAAUCUUCAUCCCACAAAAUCAGCAGCAAGCUGGGAGUGUUUUGAAGCCUCCAGCUGCAUUUGCUGAUAAGACACAAGGCUGGAGAGAUUGGGAGCCCAUAAAAAUGAUAAUCUCUGGCUUCAGUGUAACUUGGUGGAAGGGGUUUCUCCUGUCCUUUCAUUAAGGAUGGAUUUCAUGAUCUUCAUGCCUUCUUAGAAGGAAUCUCCAGUCUGAAAACUGAUUGCAUCGCCAUUAGGAAGCAGGAAACCAAUAAGGCAGAGAAAAGCAUCGGGGCUGUGGGUUGUGGCAGGUCCACACAGAGCAAAAGGCAUCUGCCUCUGUAGGCUGGGAGGAAAGUAAUAAGUGAUGAGAGACAAUUCCUGAGCACAGAUGAAAGCUCCCAGGGCAUUUCCAGUCUCCUUAAAUGUUUUCCCAGUUGCACCAUUUUGUGAGUGAGAGCAAAGGGUAUUAGCACUGUGCCAUGCUGCUGACCACUGCACCAGCUAUGAACCCAACAGCUGAGCAAAGCUCCACCAAGCCCUACACCUCCUUGGCAUGAUGGGAAACACCACAUCUCAUUUCAGUCAGGCUUGGCACAGCAUCCUCCCCUCCAUCCCUGGAUUCCCUGAGUCCUACUAUUGCCUGGGAGAAGAACAGAAAGGAACAAAGCCAGCUCAUCAUCCAUUCCCAUGUCAGUCACCACCAACAUGACCAGGAUGAAGAGAAAGGAAGAACUGGCUGCUUGGUGGGUGUGGAUGAUUUCAAGAAAUAAUUAUCCCAGAUGCCAGAAUAGGAGAAAAUUAAAAGUGUUAACUAUAAUCAGAUGUUAAGUUGCUUUUCCUCUGCUAAUUGAAAUAAUGUUUUCUCUGCUACCCACCACUCUACCCCCUUUCAGAUGCUAAUCCCUAUCAAACACGGCCUUACAAUUACAAAUUCAUAGGCAUCUUUCCCAGGAGCAGAAAUUGCUUUGCCCUGUAACCUCUAAGAUGAGGUCUUAAUAGGAAUUCACGAGCAGUCUCUGGUAAAGCUUCAUUAGCCGGAGAGAAUAGGCAAGGGCAAGUUGCAGUGCUCCCUAACCACUCUAGGGAAAAAUUAAUUUAAAUUACUUUGUAAAGUAACAAGGACAGAUAAUGUGUUUCCUUCUUGGAUUAUUGUUUUCCAACACCCUAAUGCGCUCAUAGAUUAGGAUACUUUGCCUGUCUUGAUGGUGGUCCAUACUAAGUUGUGGUGUAUGAAGAGCAGCAGCCUUCAGGAGGAGAAACACCAA